UACGGGGGGAGCAAGCGUUGUUCGGAAUCACUGGGCGUAAAGGGUGCGUAGGCGGGUCUUUAAGUCAGGGGUGAAAUCCUGGAGCUCAACUCCAGAACUGCCUUUGAUACUGAAGAUCUUGAGUUCGGGAGAGGUGAGUGGAACUGCGAGUGUAGAGGUGAAAUUCGUAGAUAUUCGCAAGAACACCAGUGGCGAAGGCGGCUCACUGGCCCGUAACUGACGCUGAGGCACGAAAGCGUGGGGAGCAAACAGG
rnacentral:rRNA from 1 species